rnacentral:rRNA from 1 species
AAUCAACGCUGGCGGCGUGCCUCAGACAUGCAAGUCGAACGAUUAAAGCUCUCUUCGGAGAGUGUAUAGAGUGGCGCACGGGUGAGUAACACGUAAGUAAUCUACCUUCGAGUGGGGAAUAACAUCGGGAACCGAUGCUAAUACCGCAUAAUGCAGCGGCAUCGCAAGAUGACAGUUGUUAAAGAUUUAUCGCUUGAAGAGGAGCUUGCGGCGGAUUAGCUAGUUGGUAAGGUAAUGGCUUACCAAGGCUACGAUCUGUAACCGGUCUAAGAGGACGGUCGGUCACACUGACACUGAAUAACGGGUCAGACUCCUAC